GCUGCUGUCCUUGGCUCCAGUUAGGGCCGCUAGAGUCCCGCGCGCGCCCCCCUCCCGAAAAAGAAACCUCAUGUUUAAUUUCUCCCCCAACCUUCCUAUCAGUUCCUCCGAAGGAGCAAAGACCGGGGCGACCAGUACGUCUUUAGGGCCACAUUUAACUACGUCUAAAACGCCAGCGGGAGGAAGGGCGAAACACUGGCGAGCAAAGGGGCGGGGGGGGGGGGGGGACAGGGAGCGCGACGGGGGGUGGCGGGGGAGCACUUGCGGGGAGGAUCGUCGCCCUCCCGGGGCGACCGCCGCCGCGACGCUCCAGCAGAGCCUCAGGCCGUUGUCGCAGGGAGGGAGACCCCCUCGGGGCCCAGAGCACAACCGGGGGUCCCUGGAGCCGGCUUCCCCUGCUGCCUCCACGUCCGGGGCCGUCGGGGCGAUGGCGCAAGACUCUGCACCCCCCCACCCCCAGCGACAACAGCCACGGUGACAAAAUGGCAGCCCAGCGCCCGGCAGUCGUGCCACAGGCGAGCAGGGCCCCGGCGGCCGCCCCUGCCCCCCAAUAACGCCUCGGCGCCCUUCGGGCUCGGCCUCCGGCGGGCCUGGCCUUCAUGAAAAUAAUAAUAACAGAACACCUCGAGCUCCGAAGCAGCUGAGGAAGCCAAGAGGCCCGCCCGCCGUCGGCCGGGCGCACCCGUGCCCGGCCCGCGCGCGCGAGGCCCGGCCACCCAGGCGCCAGCCCGCCCGCCCGCCGGCCCGCGCCCCGCGCCGCAUGGAGCCCGGCGCCCGCACUCGCAGCCCCGCGCUCGGCGCCGGCCGCGCCAUGGGGGAGGGGCGGGGCGGGCCGCGCGAGACCCGGGAAACAUGGCUGCUCGUCCUAUUUCGGCGUCGCGGCGUGGCCACCAGCCCCCGGAUCCGAGUUGGGAGAGGCUCCGAAGAGGCUCCCGCGCCGGCGGAAUUCAAUCAAUAAACCCCGAACCCACGGCCGCGCGUUUUAGGACUUUGAAGGCUCAACCAGCUCCGCUCGGUUCUCGAGCCCCCAGCACCCGCGGCGCACACUAACCUGAUCACGGAGGAGGCGGGACCUGCGCUCCGGCGGAUGAGCGGCAACAGCUGAAGCCAAUCGCUGCCGAGGGUCUCCGGGCAACAGCCAAUGGUGGCGGCGGCGGGGGGGGAAGGGACCAAUGGGCGGGCUGCGCAGCCGGCCAGGGAGGCUCAGCCAUUUGGUUGUGGUGCCGGAGACGGACCCCUUUAGAUUUCGGGGCGGCUGAGGAGCGCGGCGGCUGCUUGGUGGCUGAGCUAGGGGGGUGGGCAGAAUGGCGGGGGAAGGGAAGGUGACUGCGCCUGGAAGGCCGAGCCGCUCGGCCUCGCCAGCCCGCCGCCGCCUCAGCGUUUGGCCGGGGGCGGGGCCGCAGGUGCGUUACUCGAGGGGGAGGGGCGCGGCCGGAGGGGUCGGGGUCGGGGGUCCUCGCCCGACCGAGGGUUUCGUGGAGCCGCCCUGAGCCUGCCCGCGUCGCUGGACCGGGUUGGCUAAAGAGGUGGACGGCGCGAGGUCCGGGGCUGCCCGGCGGGCGACCGGGCGGAUGAAAGGCCUGGAAAGAGGGGGAGGGGUCAAGGGUGCAGUGGGGGGAGGGCCUGGUCAUUUUCUGGGUCCGGCGGGCGGAGCUGGUAGAGCGUGGCUGCUGCCCUCCACUUCUGUGGGUACCCACCCCGGGGCUGCGGCUUACUGCCCGCGCGCCCCUUCGCCUUGUCCUCGUCCAGCCGCGGCCAUCGCCGCCCCCCUAAUAAACAAAUAAAUGAAAGCAAGAUGCGUCCACCUUUGGAUGACUUUCCUCGCGGUUCUUGACCCUCUCCACGGAGGGGCAUUUCAGUUUGCUGUCAUAUCAGGUCAUCCUGGAAGGAGCGAUCACCAGGAGGCAUCCAGGAUCUUGUUCAGUCAAUAAAUGAAUGAAGACCAUGGAUUAAGGAUUGUUGCUGAAUAUAUUGAAUAUUAAAAAGUGAAAACGGAAGGUGCUAAUAACUCCUGGUUUUCUGGACCAAACAUAAUUUAUGGGCUUUGUAGACCUAGUGAAAGAAAACGGCGCACAAUUUAUUCUAAUCGUCCACCUGAAUCAUUUGGUUCAAUUUGGGUUGCCAAAGAGGCUCUAUUUGGAGCACUUUCUCCAGGUUUUACGGUUUGCUUGCUUUGCGUUUGGGGUUUUUUGUUUUCAUCACAUUAGUUGUUAAGACCUAAAAGCCUUCACUCCCACUGGGUUACCCACUUCUUGUGGCCAGGCCUUGGACCUUGUCAUUCACUAAGCUCCCUGCCUGUGGCUGUUAAUAAAUCGUGGGGAUUGUUGUCAACAAGGACAGAUACAUCUUUACCCUUCCACACAACUGUUUUUCAGUGCUUAUAGUUUUACAGGUCUACACUCUCCCUUACACACUCCAUGGUGGUUUUGGUGGGGAGAUACAUUGUGUUUAUUUUUCAGGCACAUGGGAGAGGUUCAAGGGAGAGAUAAACCAGUAUGUAUGGUGCAAAUCUGAAGUAUUGUUACAUAACACCAAUACAGUUUCUUUCUUGAGCAUAUAAAGUUUAGGAGGAAAUAGAAAGUGACAGAAUGUAAACAAAAUGCACAUACAGAAUGCUCACACUGGGGAAGAAACUGUAGUAACUUUAAUAUUGUAACCUGAUGGAUUGUAAACAUAAAAUCCUACAGCUAAGCAUUUUACUCGGCAAAUUUUUGUUUCAGAUAAAAUGAUCAGUGGAAUUUGAAAUGUGAUAAUGUUUACUCUGAGUAACUGGGAAAUGCAAAAUAAAAAUGGAAAGUCAUUGUUUUAUUUCA